CCAGGGGGCUGGGCAGCCGCGUUCGGAGUAAUCCGACCGAGGAAAGUCCGGGCUCCACGAAACAAGGGUGGCGGGUAACGCCCGCCCGGCGAAAUCUUCGGAUCAAGCCGAGGGAAAGUGCCACAGAGAGUAUACCGCCGAUGGCCCCUAAAGGGCACAGGCAAGGGUGAAAGGGUGCGGCAAGAGCGCACCGGGGCUCUGGUAACAGUGUCCGCAUGGCAAACCCCACCCGGAGCAAGGCCAAAUAGAGGCCUCGCGCUGGAAAGCAGGGGCGUUUCGCCCUGAGAGGCCCGGGUUGGCUGCUUGAGCCAUGGAGCAAUCCAUGGCCUAGACGAAUGGCUGCCCUUGCAGGGCUGGUGCAUUUGCAUACCGCCUGCAGGACAGAACCCGGCUUACAGGCCCCCUGGCACC
rnacentral:RNase_P_RNA from 1 species